AACCGUUUAUUCACCCCCAUCCCAGUCAAGGGAAGGGGGGGCCUUUUUUUUUUUAAAGUGGAAAAUGCUUGGAUGACCGGGGCGGGGGAGGGGAGUGGGGAGCUGCAGAGUUAAAGGCAAUUAACUGUUUUCUGGAAAUAGGGAACUGAUGUGCUUUAGGGAUGCAUUUACAUUAUCACUUAACAUCCUGAAGUAACCAGAAGAUAGUUUGCAGUAUAUAGAGUGGUAUGACAGCCACUUUAAAGUGCUUUUAAAAUAUUUAAGUUUUUGGCUUUCACUCUCACCAGUGACCAAAGACUUGACCACUCAAAGUCCAGCUCCCUGUAACUGCUAGACAUGGACACCGGUGUGAUUGAAGGUGGAUUAAAUGUCACUCUCACCAUCAGGCUACUUAUGCACGGAAAGAAGAAAAAAAAAAAAAAGAGAGUGGUGCACGUAUCAACAUCUCAGAAGGGAAUUGUCCUGAGAGAAUUAUAACUUUGGCUGGACCGACUAAUGCCAUCUUCAAAGCCUUUGCUAUGAUCAUUGACAAACUGGAAGA
rnacentral:lncRNA from 1 species